rnacentral:lncRNA from 1 species
GGAAAUCUUCUUUUUGCAUAGUGCCAAAGUUGGGAGUUGGGGGUGAAGUAAACAAGGGCUAGGUUGGGAUGUGUAUAUAUAUACUCCCUACAUUUAAAAUUGUAGGUCUUUUUCAUUUUUCUAGAUCUAUAGAUAUAAUUAUGCAUCUAGACAUACACUACGUCUAGUGCAUAGGAAAAACUAUGCACAUAAAAAAGUCAACACAUUAGCCAUGUUGGAACCAUAUGUCUUUAUUUUAUCUAAGCAAACUAUUUGAUGAAAUCACGAAAAAACUAUAGAAAAAUGUUUUAAAAUAUAAGGAAAACCUAAAUGACUCAAAAUAAUUUCUUAUUUGAUACCGAACGAUAACUCAAUCUCUUCAUUGGCCCUGGAAAAAAAAUUCUCCCUAA